rnacentral:pre_miRNA from 1 species
AGUGGGAGAGCUGGGUCAAAUGGUAUUUCCAUUCUAAGUUUUCUGAAGAGUUUCCACACUGCUUUUCAGAGUGGCUGCACCAAUUUGCAGUCCCACCAGCAAU